CUCGUAUUAGCAAUGCUUCGAGGUUUGAAAAUACAACAUCCAGCAGAUAUCCAUUAUUUAUUUUUAAUCACACUGGAAAAUAGUGAUGUUCUUUAUCAGUAUUUUUGUCUUGUUUUCAUUUGCAAAUGUCUAAAGAUUUAUAAAUGGAUAAAUUUACUUGAAAAACAAAAUGAUAUAAAAUAAGAAGUCUUGUUUUAUGAGAAUUUGAUCAAAGUUAAGGGAGUUUAUGAUUAAAACAAGAGCAAACAUCUGCCAAUUUACACUAAAUCUGAUUCACUUUCUCAGAAAACGAGACCUUGCAUGUUCAAUUUGCAUUUCAAGUAAAUGCAUGUUGAUUUAAAGAUGUUUUGAUAUUUGUAUUAGGAAAAAACACUUUAAUAUUUUUGCAAUGCAUCCAACUUUUUAAGCCAUCACUUUAUGAAUUUAAAUGGGAGGUCUAAUGCUGUUUUAUUGCAUUCAGAGUUAUUUACACUAUUAAAGAGUUGGAUUUUCAUGCUAAGCAUGGCCAAAGUUUCAAAAAACAAUUUGGACAUAGAGUGAUUCUGUGCCAAAUACACACUUCCGAGUUUCUUACAAGUUUCUGAAAGUUUUUCGAUCAUUGCGUAAUGAAGGGUGGAACUCCUUAUAUGGGCAUUUCUCCCGGAAAAGCAUGUCCACGCACAUACAUCGACCAAAGUGAGAACAAGAGCACACCAAUCAAUGUGCUUCACUCGGCAGCGCUGCACUGGACUCGCUCGUGAAGAAUGUCUCCAAAGAAGUGUGUUUUUGUUUGUAAGGUAAAGAUAACUUUGUUCAGCUUCCAGAAGAACCCAGAGUUACAUAAACAGUGUAUGUAGUUUGUUUUUUCGGGGCAGCAACGAGUUUCGCAAGUGUGUUUGUUGAUGAACGUUUUAUAAACAAGGCCCAGUUCGACGCUGGAUUUGCAAAUCGUUUGAUACUGAAAGAUGGAGCGGUCCCAGCUAUAAAAGAUCCCGUUCAUGAUUCAGAACUGCAGAAACCAACACCAUGUUGUGGAGACACUGUGUAUUUCGUUGUAAAAGCAACGAAACUCACAGAGGUCAGAUUUGCGCAUGCAUCGCUCAGAAGUGACGCACGCGGAAACGCAGAGAAGAGAUCAAAACAGAACAAUGGUCAAGAAUUAGAAGUACAAACGAGGAUUUGUAAAAAAGAAGUCAGAUGAUUUCGAUAUAAGCCAAGAGGAGACUGGUUUUCCUUUGCUACAGUAAGGAAACUUUGCUUCCUUUGCUCCUGUUAACAAACAUUGUUUUUCACGAGACUCACCGGCACAUACCCCAUACGUCAUGCUUCCGGAACUGCUUCUGUGUACAACUGCUGGCGCAAGCUAGAUUCAAGUGAUUAUUAUGUUUUGAAUAUGGAUAUUUUCUUACAAAAAUGCAUUGAUUCACUACAGGAACCCUUUGUUCAACCCCCGAGCAGUGUGAGAAAAUAUUUUUAUGGAUGGGCUGUUUUAUUUAAAAUCUUUUGGAAUGAAGCAAUGCUACACCCGCUGACUUCA
rnacentral:lncRNA from 1 species